rnacentral:rRNA from 1 species
AAGCAUAUCAAUAAGCGGAGGAAAAGAAACCAACAGGGAUUGCCUUAGUAACGGCGAGUGAAGCGGCAACAGCUCAAAUUUGAAAGCUGGCCCUUUUAGGGUCCGCGUUGUAAUUUGUAGAGGAUGAUUCGGCGAGGGCUCCCGCCUAAGUCCCCUGGAACGGGGCGUCAUAGAGGGUGAGAAUCCCGUAUGCGGUGGGUUGCCUUAGCCAUGUGAAUCUCCUUCGACGAGUCGAGUUGUUUGGGAAUGCAGCUCUAAAUUGGAGGUAAAUUUCUUCUAAAGCUAAAUACUGGCCAGAGACCGAUAGCGCACAAGUAGAGUGAUCGAAAGAUGAAAAGCACUUUGGAAAGAGAGUUAAAAAGCACGUGAAAUUGUUGAAAGGGAAGCGCUUGCAACCAGACUUGUCCGCAGUUGCUCAACCGGUCUCCUGACCGGUGUACUCUUCUGCGGCCAGGCCAGCAUCAGUUCGGGCGGUCGGAUAAAGACCUUGGGAAUGUAGCUCCUCUCGGGGAGUGUUAUAGCCCAAGGUGGAAUGCGGCCAGCCUGGACUGAGGAACUCGCUUCGGCAAGGAUGCUGGCGUAAUGGUUGUAAGCGGCCCGUCUUGCAAACAC